rnacentral:lncRNA from 1 species
AUUUGUAUUAUCUGAUUAUCCCUGAUUGUUUUAAUAGCUGAGAGAUUUAAUAAGCUUUGAUUAUAACUCAUUGAUUAUUAAUUCAUUAUUUAGUGCUUUUGAAUCUAACCAUUAAGAAAACUGUGGGAGACCAACUCCCAACUUCCACAAAUGACCCCAAGAUGACUGAAGCUCAAACCACCCAACCCACCACAACCAUCAGCAAACUGUAUCCUAUAUACACAACCGGGUCAAACACUGAAAACAGCCAAACCAUUCACACCACCACUGUCCCUCCAGGAAGAGACUACUACAAUACAGACCGCAACAAAGAAGUCUUACAUCCUACAUCCCAGACUGGGGGAGAAUACACCAGAGCUCAAGAUUACAUCGUAAACAUCUCUACACUCAAGACUGAGAGAAACAACACAGAAGAUAUGAACGUCACCCCUUCUUUCAAGAAUGAGAUAGUGAACUAUAGUGAUGUCUUACCAACAACUCAGACCAAUGGAAACCAAACUCAAGAUGAGGGCAAGGACUUUGAUGACCAAGGCUCCAUUGCCUCUGUUAUGACCCAAACUGAGAACUAUAAUAUCACCACAGAGCCUACCACUACAGCUACUGCAAGAUCCACCAUAUCCACAAUGGGAGGCAUGACUGUAAAUGCUGCUUUAACUGGGAAGAAGAAGAGGUCUUGUAAAAUAUUUAGCUGCAUCGGCAUAACAUGCUACAAACAUAUGAAGGCCAUGGAGGAGUUGUGUGAGGAGGGUAUGGACUUCUGUGAGCUCAAGAAAGCCUCAAGCCAGGUCACCUGGAAUACAUACGUGGCGGUGUGGAGUGCUGGAUGCGCCAGAGACUGCAGACAGAGUACUAAGUGUGGUCUCUUCAGCUCGUACCAAUGCCACAAUGAGUGUUGUGUGGCUGGGUCUGUCUCCUGUCUCAGACUGGAUGGUUCUCUCAACAUGCCUGUCAACUCUGCCUGCUGUGGCCUGGGGAGUCUCUCCCUCCUGGCUCUGAGUGUAACCUCUCUACUGGCCAGUCUACUCAACACUCGCUAAUCUACUAACCUUCCUGUGACAUUAGACUCACUUUAGAAUACAGAGGGUUUAGUAUGGAUCGACUAAAUGCAUAUUUCAGUUUUGUCAUAUCCACUGCUUGGGCGUCAUUAGUUCUUUCAUGUUUUCUUCGUCUGUGAAUGCAAGCUCUCGUGAAAAUAAAACUGUUUUCCAG